AGCGAACGCUGGCGGCGUGCUUAACACAUGCAAGUCGAGUGCGCGGUUCGUAGCAAUACGAACUGGCGCACGGCGCACGGGUGAGGAACACGUGGGCAACAUGCCCUCCGAUGGGGAAUAACCCGCCGAAAGGCGGGCUAAUACCGCAUACGAUUCCGGGGACCUCGGUUCCUGGACUGAAAGCCCGCAAGGGCGUCGGUGGAGUGGCCCGCGGCCGAUUAGCUUGUUGGCGGGGUAACGGCCCACCAAGGCAAUGAUCGGUAGCCGGUCUGAGAGGAUGAUCGGGCCACACUGGAACUGAGACACGGUCCAGACUCCUACGGGAGGCAGCAGUGGGGAAUCUUGCGCAAUGGGCGAAAGCCUGACGCAGCGACGCCGCGU
rnacentral:rRNA from 1 species